UUGGAAAAGCAUAAACUUAAGGCAUCACCUUUACAGAAAAUAUCUUCCAUGGAAACAUCUAAAGGCAAAAAUCCUUCAAAUUCAAAUUUAUCCAAUCAUUUCUUCUGCUUACUACCAUCCUAAAUCAUUUUUCUUUAGUAAGAUCUAUUAGUGUGAAGCUAUUAAGCUAUUAAUGUAAGUAUCAUAUUAAUGUAUUAAGAUAUUAAGUGAGGAAGUAAAGUUGCAUUCAUAGGCCUUGAACUUUUCCACAUCUCGAUUUUUACCCAUCAUCUCUGCAUAUUUUCCUAAGGCAGCCUUCAAAUGGUGAUGUUUCCUGUCAUCCAGAGUUCAGAAGUGCCUUCUCUUCAACCUUUCUGUGGAAUUCUAAACCACGUGAUAAAGGAGCUGGUGGUGGGAAGUAAGGGAAGGAGGGGAUGAAGAGGAAUGGGCAGAAGUUUUUGGAGAGGAAUAACCCACUGAGAUUGCCAGGGAAGAUUCAUUUUGACAUUAUUUUCAUGUAUUCAAUGCAAUCAAAAAAGAAUCCACAGCUAACCAUAGCCAGAUUUCCUUCUGCACCAGAGCCUGUGGAAGCGCCACAGCGGAAGCACAGAGACUGGAAGAGCAGGCAAGAAGCUGGGAGCUUUGCACUGAACCAGGAAGACAUCACAGCUCUUAGGCGAAGACCCGGAAAGGUGUCAACAUGGCCACACUACUGCUCCCACCUUGUCCUUAUUUUCCUCAUCUCUCCCCACAGGCCACAGAUCAGCCCUGGGGUUCAGAGGGAUCCUGACGGCUACUCCUCAAGAUCCUCUCUGUUGUGAUUCAUCCCCCCCAGGCCCUACAGUUUCUCCUUCCUGACUCUUACAUUUCUUUGGAUGGCAUCACUAUUUACCUGUCUCCUCCCAUAGUUAGUUGCCAAGCACUGUGGAUUCUACCCCUCAGGGUCCAGACACCCAUUU
rnacentral:antisense_RNA from 1 species